GAUGAACGCUGGCGGCGUGCUUAACACAUGCAAGUCGAACGGAAAGGCCCAAGCUUGCUUGGGUACUCGAGUGGCGAACGGGUGAGUAACACGUGGGUGAUCUGCCCUGCACUUCGGGAUAAGCCUGGGAAACUGGGUCUAAUACCGGAUAGGACGAUGGUUUGGAUGCCAUUGUGGAAAGUUUUUUCGGUGUGGGAUGAGCUCGCGGCCUAUCAGCUUGUUGGUGGGGUAAUGGCCUACCAAGGCGUCGACGGGUAGCCGGCCUGAGAGGGUGUACGGCCACAUUGGGACUGAGAUGCGGCCCAGACUCCGACGGGAGGCAGCAGUGGGGAAUAUUGCACAAUGGGAGCAAGCCUGAUGCAGCGACGCCGCGUGGGGGAUGACGGCCUUCGGGUUGUAAACUCCUUUCGCUAGGGACGAAGCGUUUUUGUGACGGUACCUGGAGAAGAAGCACCGGCUAACUACGUG
rnacentral:rRNA from 1 species